rnacentral:rRNA from 1 species
AAGCUCUGUUGUUAGGGAAGAACAAGUGCCGUUCAAAUAGGGCGGCACUUGACGGUACCUAACCAGAAAGCCACGCUAACUACGUGCCAGCAGCCGCGGUAAUACGUAGGUGGCAAGCGUGUCCGGAAAUUAUUGGGCGUAAAGGGCUCGCAGGCGGUUUCUUAAGUCUGAUGUGAAAGCCCCCGGCUCAACCGGGGAGGGUCAUUGGAAACUGGGGAACUUGAGUGCAGAAGAGGAGAGUGGAAUUCCACGUGUAGCGGUGAAAUGCGUAGAGAUGUGGAGGAACACCAGUGGCGAAGGCGACUCUCUGGUCUGUAACUGACGCUGAGGAGCGAAAGCGUGGGGAGCGAACAGGAUUAGAUACCCUGGUAGUCCACGCCGUAAACGAUGAGUGCUAAGUGUUAGGGGGUUUCCGCCCCUUAGUGCUGCAGCUAACGCAUUAAGCACUCCGCCUGGGGAGUACGGUCGCAAGACUGAAACUCAAAGGAAUUGACGGGGGCCCGCACAAGCGGUGGAGCAUGUGGUUUAAUUCGAAGCAACGCGAAGAACCUUACCAGGUCUUGACAUCCUCUGACAAUCCUAGAGAUAGGACGUCCCCUUCGGGGGCAGAGUGACAGGUGGUGCAUGGUUGUCGUCAGCUCGUGUCGUGAGAUGUUGGGUUAAGUCCCGCAACGAGCGCAACCCUUGAUCUUAGUUGCCAGCAUUCAGUUGGGCACUCUAAGGUGACUGCCGGUGACAAACCGGAGGAAGGUGGGGAUGACGUCAAAUCAUCAUGCCCCUUAUGACCUGGGCUACACACGUGCUACAAUGGACAGAACAAAGGGCAGCGAAACCGCGAGGUUAAGCCAAUCCCACAAAUCUGUUCUCAGUUCGGAUCGCAGUCUGCAACUCGACUGCGUGAAGCUGGAAUCGCUAGUAAUCGCGGAUCAGCAUGCCGCGGUGAAUACGUUCCCGGGCCUUGUACACACCGCCCGUCACACCACGAGAGUUUGUAACACCCGAAGUCGGUGAGGUAACCUUUAUGGAGCCAGCCGCCGUAAUAGUG